rnacentral:rRNA from 1 species
AUGGCAUGUAUUUUCUUUACGGGAAAAUGUAAUGGCACCGCGAGCAGCGUAUUCAAGCUGCAGACAGUGUCUCUCGGCCCAUUUCACCACGAUGACAAGGACCUGAAACCCAUGGAGGAGCACAAGCUGAGAGCCGUCCAUCAUCUCCUCAGUCGGGACCAUGCUGGUCGGGCCAGCAAGCUGACCCUUGGCGGGCUCGUCGCCGCCGUGGAGAAGGUGGCCGACGAGCUGGAGGAUGCCUACAUGGACCUGGGCGAUGAGUGGCAGGGUGAGAAGAGGGGCAAAUUCCUUGAGAUGAUGAUCACGGACGGCUGCUUUCUGCUGGAGGUGAUGAGGACUGUUGCAGGGAAGGAGUCUAUUCCCAAGGACUACGCUCAUGGCGACCCUAUCUUCAGCUGGUACGGCAUCCAGCACAUCAAGCCCUUCAUCCAGCGUGACAUGCUCAUGGUCGAGAACCAGCUGCCACUGAGGUUGCUCGAGACGAUCGUCGCCAUGGAGGAUGGCACAUGUCCGAGCGUGGCUUCGAUAAACUCCAUGGUGCUCAAGUUCCUCGAAAGGGAAGAUGCCCCGGAAGGGACCGGCUUGGGACUCAAGGACACAAGUCAGAUCAAGAGUAACAGAAAGGUUCUUCACAGAGGCAACAAAGGACGUCAGGGUCGUUCGCCCGGAGAGUGUGGUGCCCCGAUCCGCCUGGAAGCUGUCGGAGGUAGGAAUCCAGUUCCUGCCUAG